UUGAAGGAUUUGUAAGAAAUGUUUGAGGGAAUUUACUUACUGUUUAACAAUGUCAGUCAAUUCCUUCAAACAUUUUUUACAAAUCCUUCAA